rnacentral:rRNA from 1 species
CUUUUUGAGAAUAAUUUAAGGUCUAACCUGCCCAAUGAAGAUUUAAAUGGCCGCGGUAAUUUGACCGUGCAAAGGUAGCAUAAUCAUUAGUUUUUUAAUUGAAAGCUGGAAUGAAAGGUUGGAUGAGAAAAUAACUGUCUCUAUUUAAAUUAUUAAGAAUUUUAUUUUUAAGUUAAAAAGCUUAAAUUAAAUUAAAAGACGAGAAGACCCUAUAGAGUUUUAUUUAUUUUUAUAAAAAAAUUUUUAGUAUUAAUAAAUUUUAUUAUAAAAAUGAAUUUAGUUGGGGUGAUUGAAAAAUUUGAUUAACUUUUUUUUAAAAAAAACAUUAAUUUAUGAUUAAAUGAUCCUUUUAUUUAAGAUUAAAAGAUUAAAUUACCUUAGGGAUAACAGCGUAAUUUUCUUAAAGAGUUCAAAUCGAAAAGAAAGAUUGCSACCUCGAUGUUGGAUUAAAAUAAAAUUUUGGUGUAGAAGCUAAA